GUCCAACUGACGAGUCCCAAAUAGGACGAAAUGCGCAUCCUGGAU
rnacentral:hammerhead_ribozyme from 1 species